rnacentral:rRNA from 1 species
GAUGAACGCUGGCGGCGUGCCUAACACAUGCAAGUCGAGCGAUUCUCUUCGGAGAAGAGCGGCGGACGGGUGAGUAACGCGUGGGUAACCUGCCCUGUACACACGGAUAACAUACCGAAAGGUAUGCUAAUACGGGAUAACAUAAGAAAUUCGCAUGUUUUUCUUAUCAAAGCUCCGGCGGUACAGGAUGGACCCGCGUCUGAUUAGCUAGUUGGUGAGGUAACGGCUCAACAAGGCAUCGAUCAGUAGCCGACCUGAGAGGGUGAUCGGCCACAUUGGAACUGAGAGACGGUCCAAACUCCUACGGGAGGCAGCAGUGGGGAAUAUUGCACAGUGGGCGAAAGCCUGAUGCAGCAACGCCGCGUGAGCGAUGAAGGCCUUCGGGUCGUAAAGCUCUGUCCUCAAGGAAGAUAAUGACGGUACUUGAGGAGGAAGCCCCGGCUAACUACGUGCCAGCCGCCGCGGUAA